rnacentral:rRNA from 1 species
UGCUUUGGCAAACCUCCUUGUCAAAGCCUGAUCUCAUCAGAUCUCAGAAACUAAGCAGAGCUCGGCUCAGUUAGUACUUGGAUGGGAAACUAGCAAUAGCAAGUGUCACAGUGG